GUUUGAACCGUCGGCAGAUGACCCGCGAUGAGUAGACGAACGGUUUUACACGAAACAUAGAAUUAAAUUGUUAGAAUUUCGACCUGGAAAUCAUAUUCUUCCGUGUUUGUACAGGUAUGCGUAUUUUAUUAUAAAUACGUCACGCAAAUUCAUGUAUACAUACAAUCAUCAUAACAUUAUGAUAAUCUAGAACUUAAUUAGAAUUUAGGUCGUUUAAAUUGUGUUCGUCCGCAACACGAAUUAAACCUCGUAUUUUCGUUUAACAACUGUUGUAUUUCCCGCAAUUAUAGUUGUUCUGUCUGUGUCACCUAAUCGGACUCUUUUUUUUCUUUUUAAAUGCACUUGUAAAUUUCUAUAUUACUGGAUGGGAUACGUUUGAAGUGGAUUUAAAGCCGUUACGCCAUCCUUCGACAGAAUCGUUGGACUGGGAAAGAAUAUUUUCUGAAAUAUACUUAGAACAAUUCCAUAAUGUUACUGGACAUAUUGCCGCUCUUCUUCGAUUUCUUCGAAAUAGUCAGUCAAUCUUAAUGGACUUAACAUUUCUUCAUUUUUUUAAUAAAAAUCUGAAUCUAAUAGUACUUUUAUUUAUUUUGUAUUAUAGUUAAAGUUCU